GAUUCGUCACACUAUCAUUAACUGAAUCCAUAGGUUAAUGAGGCGAACCGGGGGAACUGAAACAUCUAAGUACCCCGAGGAAAAGAAAUCAACCGAGAUUCCCCCAGUAGCGGCGAGCGAACGGGGAGGAGCCCAGAGCCUGAAUCAGCAUGUGUGUUAGUGGAAGCGUCUGGAAAGGCGCGCGAUACAGGGUGACAGCCCCGUACACAAAAGCGCAUGUGCUGUGAGCUCGAUGAGUAGGGCGGGACACGUGGUAUCCUGUCUGAAUAUGGGGGGACCAUCCUCCAAGGCUAAAUACUCCUGACUGACCGAUAGUGAACCAGUACCGUGAGGGAAAGGCGAAAAGAACCCCGGCGAGGGGAGUGAAAAAGAACCUGAAACCGUGUACGUACAAGCAGUGGGAGCACCCUUCGGGGUGUGACUGCGUACCUUUUGUAUAAUGGGUCAGCGACUUAUAUUCUGUAGCAAGGUUAACCGUAUAGGGGAGCCGGAGGGAAACCGAGUCUUAACCGGGCGUUAAGUUGCAGGGUAUAGACCCGAAACCCGGUGAUCUAGCCAUGGGCAGGUUGAAGGUUGGGUAACACUAACUGGAGGACCGAACCGACUAAUGUUGAAAAAUUAGCGGAUGACCUGUGGCUGGGGGUGAAAGGCCAAUCAAACCGGGAGAUAGCUGGUUCUCCCCGAAAGCUAUUUAGGUAGCGCCUCGUGAAUUCAUCUCCGGGGGUAGAGCACUGUUUCGGCUAGGGGGCCAUCCCGGCUUACCAACCCGAUGCAAACUGCGAAUACCGGAGAAUGUUAUCACGGGAGACACACGGCGGGUGCUAACGUCCGUCGUGAAGAGGGAAACAACCCAGACCGCCAGCUAAGGUCCCAAAGUCAUGGUUAAGUGGGAAACGAUGUGGGAAGGCCCAGACAGCCAGGAUGUUGGCUUAGAAGCAGCCAUCAUUUAAAGAAAGCGUAAUAGCUCACUGGUCGAGUCGGCCUGCGCGGAAGAUGUAACGGGGCUAAACCAUGCACCGAAGCUGCGGCAGCGAACGUAUCACCCAAGACAACUUUACGGAGUUGACGAUUGACGGAGCGAAGCGACGUCAAAGCGUUCAUUAAAGUCGAGUUGGCUUAGGGAUACGUUCGUUGGGUAGGGGAGCGUUCUGUAAGCCUGUGAAGGUGUGUCGUGAGGCAUGCUGGAGGUAUCAGAAGUGCGAAUGCUGACAUAAGUAACGAUAAAGCGGGUGAAAAGCCCGCUCGCCGGAAGACCAAGGGUUCCUGUCCAACGUUAAUCGGGGCAGGGUGAGUCGACCCCUAAGGCGAGGCCGAAAGGCGUAGUCGAUGGGAAACGGGUUAAUAUUCCCGUACUUGGUGUUACUGCGAAGGGGGGACGGAGAAGGCUAUGUUGGCCGGGCGACGGUUGUCCCGGUUUAAGCGUGUAGGUGUGUGUUCCAGGUAAAUCCGGUUCACUUUAACACUGAGGCGUGACGACGAGGCACUACGGUGCUGAAGCAACAAAUGCCCUGCUUCCAGGAAAAGCCUCUAAGCAUCAGGUAACACGAAAUCGUACCCCAAACCGACACAGGUGGUCAGGUAGAGAAUACCAAGGCGCUUGAGAGAACUCGGGUGAAGGAACUAGGCAAAAUGGUGCCGUAACUUCGGGAGAAGGCACGCUGACACGUAGGUGAAGUGAUUUACUCAUGGAGCUGAAGUCAGUCGAAGAUACCAGCUGGCUGCAACUGUUUAUUAAAAACACAGCACUGUGCAAACACGAAAGUGGACGUAUACGGUGUGACGCCUGCCCGGUGCCGGAAGGUUAAUUGAUGGGGUCAGCGUAAGCGAAGCUCCUGAUCGAAGCCCCGGUAAACGGCGGCCGUAACUAUAACGGUCCUAAGGUAGCGAAAUUCCUUGUCGGGUAAGUUCCGACCUGCACGAAUGGCGUAAUGAUGGCCAGGCUGUCUCCACCCGAGACUCAGUGAAAUUGAACUCGCUGUGAAGAUGCAGUGUACCCGCGGCAAGACGGAAAGACCCCGUGAACCUUUACUAUAGCUUGACACUGAACAUUGAGCCUUGAUGUGUAGGAUAGGUGGGAGGCUUUGAAGUGUGGACGCCAGUCUGCAUGGAGCCGACCUUGAAAUACCACCCUUUAAUGUUUGAUGUUCUAACGUGGACCCGUAAUCCGGGUUGCGGACAGUGUCUGGUGGGUAGUUUGACUGGGGCGGUCUCCUCCUAAAGAGUAACGGAGGAGCACGAAGGUUGGCUAAUCCUGGUCGGACAUCAGGAGGUUAGUGCAAUGGCAUAAGCCAGCUUGACUGCGAGCGUGACGGCGCGAGCAGGUGCGAAAGCAGGUCAUAGUGAUCCGGUGGUUCUGAAUGGAAGGGCCAUCGCUCAACGGAUAAAAGGUACUCCGGGGAUAACAGGCUGAUACCGCCCAAGAGUUCAUAUCGACGGCGGUGUUUGGCACCUCGAUGUCGGCUCAUCACAUCCUGGGGCUGAAGUAGGUCCCAAGGGUAUGGCUGUUCGCCAUUUAAAGUGGUACGCGAGCUGGGUUUAGAACGUCGUGAGACAGUUCGGUCCCUAUCUGCCGUGGGCGCUGGAGAACUGAGGGGGGCUGCUCCUAGUACGAGAGGACCGGAGUGGACGCAUCACUGGUGUUCGGGUUGUCAUGCCAAUGGCACUGCCCGGUAGCUAAAUGCGGAAGAGAUAAGUGCUGAAAGCAUCUAAGCACGAAACUUGCCCCGA
rnacentral:rRNA from 2 species